UACGAAUAAGGAUCGGCUAACUCCGUGCCAGCAGCCGCGGUAAUACGGAGGAUCCGAGCGUUAUCCGGAUUUAUUGGGUUUAAAGGGAGCGUAGGCGGAUUAUUAAGUCAGUUGUGAAAGUUUGCGGCUCAACCGUAAAAUUGCAGUUGAUACUGGUUUCCUUGAGUGCAGUUGAGGCAGGCGGAAUUCGUGGUGUAGCGGUGAAAUGCUUAGAUAUCACGAAGAACUCCGAUUGCGAAGGCAGCCUGCUAAGCUGCAACUGACAUUGAGGCUCGAAAGUGUGGGUAUCAAACAGGAUUAGAUACCCUGGUAGUCCACACGGUAAACGAUGAAUACUCGCUGUUUGCGAUAUACUGCAAGCGGCCAAGCGAAAGCGUUAAGUAUUCCACCUGGGGAGUACGCCGGCAACGGUGAAACUCAAAGGAAUUGACGGGGGCCCGCACAAGCGGAGGAACAUGUGGUUUAAUUCGAUGAUACGCGAGGAACCUUACCCGGGCUUGAAUUGCAACUGAAUGAUGUGGAGACAUGUCAGCCGCAAGGCAGUUGUGAAGGUGCUGCAUGGUUGUCGUCAGCUCGUGCCGUGAGGUGUCGGCUUAAGUGCCAUAACGAGCGCAACCCUUGUUGUCAGUUACUAACAGGUUCCGCUGAGGACUCUGACAAGACUGCCAUCGUAAGAUGUGAGGAAGGUGGGGAUGACGUCAAAUCAGCACGGCCCUUACGUCCGGGGCUACACACGUGUUACAAUGG
rnacentral:rRNA from 1 species